CACCACAACCAACUACCA
rnacentral:miRNA from 1 species